UAUAAUAAACAGAAAUUUCUCAUAUAUUAAAUCAACUUGGUUGCAUUACAAAGUACACCAUACAAAGAUUACAAGAUGUGAAACUAGUAGUAAUCCCAUUCUUGACCUUGCAACCUACGUGUCAGCCAUUCUGAAACAUAAUGAUCUAACAUUGACACCAAAAAUAUCAGAUACAUAAUGAUUGAAACAUUGGCACUGGAAAUGGCAUUCUAAGACACAAUGUGAAACUAUCUAGUAGCACCCCUAUUCUUGACCUUGCAACCAACAUCUGAGACAUGCACCAUCGAAUAUUGGAAUCUAUCUACAAAACAAAGAAAUGAAAUAGGUUAAUAGGGCAGAAAAAUUGAAAGGAGCAGCAACAUAGAAAGGUUGAAGGCAAUGUGAUAAUUAAUCUUGCUGCAUGACUAAUAAAUUUGACCUUUUUUGUAGUUGUAAAAACUUAUAAGAUUUAGCUUUAUAUUCGGGGUUAAUCCUUUGGAUUGAAGUAAAAGCAGCGAUCUUGUUCGGAAUUGUCCAGUAUCACAUUUGUAGCUAACAAUGGUCAUUUUAACUCACAGUAAACUAACUCAGUUAAUUUCAUUUUUAAGUUUCCCCAUGUUAAUAGAAACAGAGUGAUUUAUAGGGGUGGGGGAAUGUAAGGCAGGCAUACAGUAGUUGAUGAAUUGUUUUACCUAAUCUAGUCGCAAAGAUUCUUAUCUCACAGAAGCAGUACGACCAUUUUUACAUGCAAGAAAAGUGUUCUCUUGUACUAAUUAUGUGAAAAAAAGAGAAACAUGUCCAAAAUAAUAAAAUAUAGUAAUGCUAUUAAUACUCCAAAAUUUCCAUUAAAACUGGUGAAGAAUCAUUCGCUCAAUAUGGAACUACCAUCAGAAAAUACCUCCUAGUAAAUCCAGCUUGGCACUAGUAGUCUUCUAUGUUUUAGCGCCAACAACAUCGACUUGGAACAAUCGAGUCUCUGUAGCCUGCUAAUUUGGCAUGUGCAUUAGUAAUGUAUGUUCGCUUUUGCCCACAGAAUCGAACAUCAAAAUAGCUGAAUACAUGUGCACGAAGUCCUUUAGCGUACUCUUUCUUAUCUUAUUUUAUACCAAAACUCUUACAUGACCUUGUUCUUAUAUGGAAAAACUCUUGCACGACCUGGUUCCACGAUAUGACAUGCUAGAUGGCCGAAACAAUCUAAACCUACUCCUACUUAUAGCAUCUAAAACGACACAGACUCCAGCGCCCUUUCCUACACUAGUAAGGCAUGCUAACUCCAAGACAUAGUAGUACAACAUGUAGGCAGCUAGCUAUGCAAACUCAUUGAACCAUAUAUGGAUUAGUACGACCCACCCAAGUACACAAAUUCUUAUGACAUGCAAGCCAGACUUGUUGGAAAACUAACUAAUCAAUCUAACCAAAUUAGACUCAAACUUGGCUAGUUAAACUAGCACGGACUCCUACUAAACUACUUGAAAUUAUUCUAACAAUUUAGAAGACCACAACAUUCAUGCAGACUAAGUAGUGCCAGCGUAUUAGUAUAUGCCAACAUUUAAUAAAUAGGAUUGGCUUUCUUAGUUACUUGUUUACCGAGAACGUGGAAACUUAGAGCAGUUCCAGUACGCUCAUCUUUGUCACCAUGGUUGCUGGAUGCUGAAACUGUUGGCCGAAUAGGUAGAGGAGAAGGCCCUGAGUAUUACAGAGAAGAGGGGAUCCUAGUAAGAUCCAAUAGUUUCGGAUCAGUGAAUUCGACGUACCUGACACACUCGCACAGUCGUCGCAUCUGAUCGCUUAGCUGUCUGUUUAUGGUUGUUAGUAUCAUCCAACCACCGUAGUGUGCCCUGUAUGUCAGGGAAGGAGAGUGCACAAGAGGAAUAUUUUUAAUGUUUACGUUCUUG
rnacentral:lncRNA from 1 species